ACCUUGAGGACAAAGACUAGUGA
rnacentral:piRNA from 1 species